rnacentral:rRNA from 1 species
GUGGGGAAUAUUGGACAAUGGGCGAAAGCCUGAUCCAGCCAUGCCGCGUGUGUGAAGAAGGUCUUCGGAUUGUAAAGCACUUUAAGUUGGGAGGAAGGGCAGUAAGUUAAUACCUUGCUGUUUUGACGUUACCGACAGAAUAAGCACCGGCUAACUUCGUGCCAGCAGCCGCGGUAAUACGAAGGGUGCAAGCGUUAAUCGGAAUUACUGGGCGUAAAGCGCGCGUAGGUGGUUUUGUAAGUUGGAGGUGAAAUCCCCGGGCUCAACCUGGGAACUGCCUCCAAAACUGCAUGACUAGAGUACGGUAGAGGGUAGUGGAAUUUCCUGUGUAGCGGUGAAGUGCGUAGAUAUAGGAAGGAACACCAGUGGCGAAGGCGACUACCUGGACUGAUACUGACACUGAGGUGCGAAAGCGUGGGGAGCAAACAGGAUUAGAUACCCCGGUAGUCC